rnacentral:tRNA from 1 species
CGCAGGGUGGAGCAGCCUGGUAGCUCGUCGGGCUCAUAACCCGAAGGUCAUAGGUUCAAAUCCUAUCCCUGCAACCA